ACUCCUACGGGAGGCAGCAGUGGGGAAUAUUGCACAAUGGGCGCAAGCCUGAUGCAGCCAUGCCGCGUGUAUGAAGAAGGCCUCGGUUGUAAAGUAACUUUACAGUCAGUGAGGAAGGUGGGUAUGUUAAUAGCAUAUUCAUUUGACGUUAGCUGCAGAAGAAGCACCGGCUAAACUCCGUGCCAGCAGCCGCGGUAAUACGGAGGGUGC
rnacentral:rRNA from 1 species